rnacentral:rRNA from 1 species
ACCAAGGGUUCCUGUCCAACGUUAAUCGGGGCAGGGUGAGUCGACCCCUAAGGCGAGGCCGAAAGGCGUAGUCGAUGGGAAACGGGUUAAUAUUCCCGUACUUGGUGUUACUGCGAAGGGGGGACGGAGAAGGCUAUGUUGGCCGGGCGACGGUUGUCCCGGUUUAAGCGUGUAGGCUGGUUUUCCAGGCAAAUCCGGAAAAUCAAGGCUGAGGCGUGAUGACGAGGCACUACGGUGCUGAAGCAACAAAUGCCCUGCUUCCAGGAAAAGCCUCUAAGCAUCAGGUAACAUCAAAUCGUACCCCAAACCGACACAGGUGGUCAGGUAGAGAAUACCAAGGCGCUUGAGAGAACUCGGGUGAAGGAACUAGGCAAAAUGGUGCCGUAACUUCGGGAGAAGGCACGCUGACACGUAGGUGAA